rnacentral:rRNA from 1 species
AGCAAAUCGGAUUAGAUACCCGAGUAGUCCACGCCCUAAACGGUGGAUGCUAGGUGUGGGAGGUGUCGACCCCCCCCGUGCCGCAGCUAACGCUUUAAGCAUCCCGCCUGGGGAGUACAACCGCAAGGUUAAAACUCAAAGGAAUUGACGGGGGGCCCGCACAAGCGGCGGAGCGUGUGGUUUAAUUCGAUGCAACGCGAAGAACCUUACCAGGGCUUGACAUAUUAGUGGUACUGAUCAGAAACGUGAAGGACCCUUCGGGGAGCUAAUACAGGUGCUGCAUGGCUGUCGUCAGCUCGUGCCGUGAGGUGUUGGGUUAAGUCCCGCAACGAGCGCAACCCUCGCCGUUAGUUAAAUAUCUCUAACGGGACCGCUGGGAUAAACCCAGAGGAAGGUGGGGAUGACGUCAAGUCAGCAUGGCCCUUACGCCCUGGGCUACACACACGCUACAAUGGCCGGUACAGUGGGCUGCCAAGGCGCGAGCCGGAGCUAAUCCCCCAAAGCCGGCCCCAGUUCAGAUUGCAGGCUGCAACUCGCCUGCAUGAAGGCGGAGUCGCUAGUAACCGCAGGUCAGCAAUACUGCGGUGAAUACGUUCCCGGGCCUUGUACACACCGCCCGUCACGUCAUGGAAGCCGGCAGCACCUGAAGCCGUUGAGCCAACGCGUUUUACGCGGGGCAGGCGCCUAGGGUGAGGCUGGUAACUGGGACGAAGUCGUAACAAGGUAGCCGUACGGGAACGUGCGGCUG